rnacentral:rRNA from 1 species
GACGAACGCUGGCGGCGUGCCUAAUACAUGCAAGUCGAGCGAAGCGGCGGAUGGGUGAGUAACGCGUGGGUAACCUGCCCUUAAGUCUGGGAUACCAGUUGGAAACAGAUGCUAAUACCGGAUACUAAAGGAUGGACCUGCGAUGCAUUAGCUAGUUGGUAAGGUAACGGCUUACCAAGGCGGUGAUGCAUGGCCGGGUUGGGGGACUGAUCGGCCACAUUGGGACUGAGACACGGCCCAAACGCCUACGGGAGGCAGCAGUAGGGAAUCUUCCACAAUGGACGAAAGGCUGAUGGAGCAACGUCGCGUGAGUGAAGAAGGUUUUCGGAUCGUAAAGCUCUGUUGUUGGAGAAGCGGUAAUCAACCAGAAAGUCACGGCUAACUACGUGCCAGCAGCCGCGGUAAUUC